rnacentral:rRNA from 1 species
GAUGAACGCUAGCGGCAGGCUUAAUACAUGCAAGUCGAGGGAGAAUGGGGCUUCGGCCCCAGGGAACCGGCGCACGGGUGCGUAACGCGUACACAACAUGCCUUAUACUGGAGUAUAGCCUCGGGAAACUGGGAGUAAUCCUCCAUAACAUUAUCGGGUGGCAUCAUCUGGUAAUUAAAGCUCAGGCGGUAUAAGAUUGGUGUGCGUAUGAUUAGCUAGUUGGUAGGGUAACGGCCUACCAAGGCGACGAUCAUUAGCUGGCGUGAGAGCGCGACCAGCCACACUGGAACUGAGACACGGUCCAGACUCCUACGGGAGGCAGCAGUAGGGAAUAUUGGACAAUGGGCGAAAGCCUGAUCCAGCCAUGCCGCGUGAUGGAUGAAGGCCCUCUGGGUUGUAAACAUCUUUUAUCAGGGAAGAAACAUUCCGUUUCUACGGGACUUGACGGUACCUGAUGAAUAAGCACCGGCUAACUCCGUGCCAGCAGCCGCCGCUG